UACGUAGGGUCCGAGCGUUGUCCGGAGUUACUGGGCGUAAAGCGCGCGCAGGCGGCGGUAUAAGCAUGGCGUGAAAGCCCCAGGCUCAACCUGGGAGGGUCGUCGUGGACUGUACCGCUUGAGGGCGAUAGGGGCUGGUGGAAUGCCUGGUGUAGUGGUGAAAUGCGCAGAUAUCAGGAGGAACACCAAUUGCGAAGGCAGCUCGCUGGGACGUUACUGACGCUGAGACGCGAAAGCGUGGGGAGCAAACAGG
rnacentral:rRNA from 1 species